rnacentral:rRNA from 1 species
GAUGAACGCUGGCGGCGUGCCUAAUACAUGCAAGUCGAGCGAACGGACGAGAAGCUUGCUUCUCUGAUGUUAGCGGCGGACGGGUGAGUAACACGUGGAUAACCUACCUAUAAGACUGGGAUAACUUCGGGAAACCGGAGCUAAUACCGGAUGAUAUUUUGAACCGCAUGGUUCAAAAGUGAAAGACGGUCUUGCUGUCACUUAUAGAUGGAUCCGCGCUGCAUUAGCUAGUUGUUAAGGUAACGGCUUACCAAGGCAACGAUGCAUAGCCGACCUGAGAGGGUGAUCGGCCACACUGGAACUGAGACACGGUCCAGACUCCUACGGGAGGCAGCAGUAGGGAAUCUUCCACAAUGGGCGAAAGCCUGACGGAGCAACGCCGCGUGAGUGAUGAAGGUCUUCGGAUCGUAAAACUCUGUUAUUAGGGAAGAACAUAUGUGUAAGUAACUGUGCACAUCUUGACGGUACCUAAUCAGAAAGCCACGGCUAACUACGUG